GCCCCGCAGGGGAGUGGCAGACGGAGUGAGUAACGCGUGCGCUUCUACCCAGUUCUACGGAACAACACAGGGAAACUUGUGCUAAUACCGUAUACGCCCCAAGGGGGAAAGAUUUAUCGGAAUUGGAUGAGCCCGCGUUGGAUUAGCUAGUUGGUGGGGUAAUGGCCUACCAAGGCGACGAUCCAUAGCUGGUCUGAGAGGAUGAUCAGCCACACUGGGACUGAGACACGGCCCAGACUCCUACGGGAGGCAGCAGUGGGGAAUAUUGGACAAUGGGCGCAAGCCUGAUCCAGCCAUGCCGCGUGAGUGAUGAAGGCCUUAGGGUUGUAAAGCUCUUUCAGUGGGGACGAUAAUGACGGUACCCACAGAAGAAGCCCCGGCUAACUUCGUGCCAGCAGCCGCGGUAAUACGAAGGGGGCUAGCGUUGUUCGGAUUUACUGGGCGUAAAGCGCACGUAGGCGGAUUGUUAAGUGAGGGGUGAAAUCCCAGGGCUCAACCCUGGAACUGCCUUUCAUACUGGCAAUCUUGAGUCCGGAAGAGGUGAGU
rnacentral:rRNA from 1 species